rnacentral:rRNA from 1 species
UGAGGAAUAUUGGUCAAUGGGCGAGAGCCUGAACCAGCCAAGUCGCGUGGAGGAAGACGGCCCUACGGGUUGUAAACUCCUUUUACCUGGGAAUAACGGGCGCUACGUGUAGCGCUGUGCAUGUACCGGGAGAAUAAGCAUCGGCUAAUUCCGUGCCAGCAGCCGCGGUAAUACGGAAGAUGCGAGCGUUAUCCGGAUUUAUUGGGUUUAAAGGGUGCGUAGGCGGAAGAAUAAGUCAGCGGUGAAAUGCUUCAGCUCAACUGGAGAAUUGCCGAUGAAACUGUUUUUCUAGAGUAUAAAAGAGGUAUGCGGAAUGCGUGGUGUAGCGGUGAAAUGCAUAGAUAUCACGCAGAACCCCGAUUGCGAAGGCAGCAUACUGGGCUAUAACUGACGCUGAAGCACGAAAGCGUGGGUAUCGAACA